CCUACGGGAGGCAGCAGUGAGGAAUAUUGGGCAAUGGACGGAAGUCUGAACCAGCCAUGCCGCGUGCAUGAAGACGGCUCUAUGAGUUGUAAACUGCUUUUGUACAAGGGUAAACCUUAAUACGUGUAUUCAGCUGAAAGUACUCUACGAAUAAGGAUCGGCUAACUCCGUGCCAGCAGCCGCGGUAAUACGGGGGAUUCGAGCGUUGUCCGGAUUUAUUGGGUUUAAAGGGUGCGCAGGCGGAUUUUUAAGUCAGCGGUCAAAUCGUGGGGCUCAACCCCAUCCAGCCGUUGAAACUGGGGAUCUAGAGUGUGCGAGGGGUAUGCGGAAUGCGUGGUGUAGCGGUGAAAUGCGUAGAUAUCACGCAGAACCCCGGUUGCGAAGGCAGCAUACCGGUGCACAACUGACGCUGAGGCACGAAAGCGUGGGUAUCGAACAGGAUUAGAUACCCCAGUAGUC
rnacentral:rRNA from 1 species